AGCAGAAGCAAAAGACCAAAUUGUGUUCAGAACCUCAAAAUCAGAUGAGUCACCCUGAGUCAGGAUGCCAGGAAAUCAAGCCUGGGGAGUUGGAGCAGGAACAGCUGACACACGGUCCAGAGGGGGCCGGGGGGAGCUCGGUGCCCAGAAGAGUGGAGGGUUCUUACCUCCAGGAGAUGCCUGGGAUCUUCCAUCUAAGCCUCAAUGGGACCCCUGUUGCUUGGUUUGACAGGAUGAGAUCAUCUGUCCCCACUGCUCCCUGCGCUGGGCUGACUGCAGCACACAUCUGUUUAAGAGGCUGGGCCACGUACUGGAAGAGAGAUGUUACAAUCAGGGUCCAGGCACCCCAGAAGGAGAACAGAGGGUCCGAAACCAGAAGACUUAAGCAAUCAAAUCAGCGGAUUCGACAGAGAAGUUUUGUACCAUACAGGGACAUCAAAUAAGGUCUGUUAGGAAAGCUGAGAUGUUAGUCUGGAAACUGCUAAGGCAAAGAUAUUGAUUUGUUAAGAUUCAGUUUUAGUCACU